CCUACGGGAGGCUGCAGUAGGGAAUAUUGCUCAAUGGGGGAAACCCUGAAGCAGCAACGCUGCGUGGAGGAUGAAGGUUUUCGGAUUGUAAACUCCUUUUGUUAGAGAAGAUAAUGACGGUAUCUAACGAAUAAGCACCGGCUAACUCCGUGCCAGCAGCCGCGGUAAUACGGAGGGUGCAAGCGUUACUCGGAAUCACUGGGCGUAAGGAGCGCGUAGGCGGGAUAGCAAGUCAGAUGUGAAAUCCUAUGGCUUAACCAUAGAACUGCAUUUGAAACUGUUAUUCUAGAGUAUGGGAGAGGUAGGUGGAAUUCUUGGUGUAGGGGUAAAAUCCGUAGAGAUCAAGAGGAAUACUCAUUGCGAAGGCGACCUGCUAGAACAUAACUGACGCUGAUGCGCGAAAGCGUGGGGAGCAAACAGGAUUAGAUACCCCAGUAGUC
rnacentral:rRNA from 1 species